rnacentral:ncRNA from 1 species
GUAUAAUCGUGGAUGAGGAGAGUACUCCGUGUGAGAUGCUGUAGCGAGUCGGGGAUGGUGAAAGCCCGAUGCGGACCAUGAGAGGAAGCGCCCCUCGGAGAUGCUGCCUGAAUGUCUGCCGUUUUGUCCGGCAGAUUGCGUAGGGUUUAGCCGGGACUGCCCGUUAUUGCAGAUCAAGCGGUCUUUGCCCCCAAGAAGACAUUGGGCAGGGACAACAAGAGUGGCACCGCGGGAGCACAACCUCUCGUCUCUUUU